rnacentral:tRNA from 1 species
ACCUGGCUGGCUCAGUCAGCAGAGCAUCGAACUCUUGAUCUUGUGGUCGUGAGUUCAAGCUCACGUUGGGUA